rnacentral:rRNA from 1 species
UACGUAGGAGACGAGCGUUGUCCGGAGUUACUGGGCGUAAAGGGGGCGCAGGGGGCGGCGCGGGUGGGGGGUGAAAUCGCCCGGCUUAACUGGGCGGGGGCCUUCCAGACGGCGUGGCUUGAGCAGCGGAGGGGGACGUGGAAUUCCACGUGUAGCGGUGAAAUGCGUAGAGAUGUGGAGGAACACCAGUGGCGAAGGCGGCUCUCUGGUCUGUAACUGACGCUGAGGCGCGAAAGCGUGGGGAGCGAACAGG